rnacentral:rRNA from 1 species
GACGAACGCUGGCGGCGUGCUUAACACAUGCCAGUCGAACGGAAAGGCCCUGCUUUUGUGGGGUGCUCGAGUGGCGAACGGGUGAGUAACACGUGAGUAACCUGCCCUUGACUUUGGGAUAACUUCAGGAAACUGGGGCUAAUACCGGAUAGGAGCUCCUGCUGCAUGGUGGGGGUUGGAAAGUUUCGGCGGUUGGGGAUGGACUCGCGGCUUAUCAGCUUGUUGGUGGGGUAGUGGCUUACCAAGGCUUUGACGGGUAGCCGGCCUGAGAGGGUGACCGGCUACAUUGGGACUGAGAUACGGCCCAGACUCCUACGGGAGGCAGCAGUGGGGAAUAUUGCACAAUGGGCGGAAGCCUGAUGCAGCAACGCCGCGUGCGGGAUGACGGCCUUCGGGUUGUAAACCGCUUUCGCCUGUGACGAAGCGUGAGUGACGGUAAUGGGUAAAGAAGCACCGGCUAACUACGU